UACGAAGGGGGCUAGCGUUGCUCGGAAUUACUGGGCGUAAAGGGCGCGUAGGCGGCUUGUACAGUCAGACGUGAAAUUCCCGGGCUCAACCUGGGGGCUGCAUUUGAUACGUGCGGACUUGAGUGGGGAAGAGGGUCGUGGAAUUCCCAGUGUAGAGGUGAAAUUCGUAGAUAUUGGGAAGAACACCGGUGGCGAAGGCGGCGUCCUGGUCCUUGACUGACGCUGAGGCGCGAAAGCGUGGGGAGCAAACAGG
rnacentral:rRNA from 1 species